UACGUAGGUGGCGAGCGUUGUCCGGAAUGACUGGGCGUAAAGGGAGCGUAGGUGGCAAUUUAAGUUAGGUGUGAAAGCCCGUGGCUCAACCACGGAACUGCACUUAAAACUGGAUAGCUAGAGUACAGGAGGGGUAAGCGGAAUUUCUAGUGUAGCGGUGGAAUGCUUAGAUAUUAGGAAGAACACCAGAGGCGAAGGCGGCUUACUGGACUGCAACUGACACUGAGGCUCGAAAGCGUGGGGAGCAAACA
rnacentral:rRNA from 1 species